AGGACAGGUGCUGCAUGGCUGUCGUCAGCUCGUGUCGUGAGAUGUUGGGUUAAGUCCCGCCAACGAGCGCAACCCUUGCCUUUAGUUGCCAGCAGUUCGGCUGGGCACUCUAAAGGGACUGCCGGUGUUAAACCGGAGGAAGGUGGGGAUGACGUCAAGUCCUCAUGGCCUUUAUGACCAGGGCUACACACGUACUACAAUGGCCGAUACAAAGGGCAGCGACACUGCGAGGUGGAGCCAAUCCCGUAAAAUCGGUCUCAGUCCGGAUUGGAGUCUGCAACUCGACUCCAUGAAGUUGGAAUCGCUAGUAAUCGUGGAUCAGCAUGCCACGGUGAAUACGUUCCCGGGCCUU
rnacentral:rRNA from 1 species